rnacentral:rRNA from 1 species
UACGAAGGGGGCUAGCGUUGCUCGGAAUCACUGGGCGUAAAGGGCGCGUAGGCGGCCGAUCAAGUCGGAGGUGAAAGCCCAGGGCUCAACCCUGGAAUGGCCCUUCGAUACUGGUUGGCUCGAGACCGGAAGAGGUAAGUGGAACUGCGAGUGUAGAGGUGAAAUUCGUAGAUAUUCGCAAGAACACCAGUGGCGAAGGCGGCUUACUGGUCCGGUUCUGACGCUGAGGCGCGAAAAGCGUGGGGGAGCAAACAGG